rnacentral:rRNA from 1 species
CCGGAUUGGAGUCUGCAACUCGACUCCAUGAAGUUGGAAUCGCUAGUAAUCCCGAAUCAGAAAUGUCGGGGUGAAUACGUUCCCGGGUGUUGUACACACCGCCCGUCACGCCAUGGGAGUCUGUAAUACCUGAAGUCGGUAGCCUAACCCGCAAGGGAGGGGGCCGCCCAGGGUAGGACAGGUGACUGGGGUGAAGUCGUAACAAGGUAUC